rnacentral:rRNA from 1 species
GCACAAGCGGUGGAGCAUGUGGUUCAAUUCGACGCAACGCGAAGAACCUUACCCAGGCUCGAACGGCAACUGACAUCCGGCGAAAGCCGGCUCCCGCAAGGGCAGUUGUCGAGGUGCUGCAUGGCUGUCGUCAGCUCGUGUCGUGAGAUGUUGGGUUAAGUCCUGCAACGAGCGCAACCCUUGUCCGCUGUUGCCAUCAGGUUAAGCUGGGCACUCUGCGGAGACUGCCGGUGAUAAACCGGAGGAAGGUGGGGAUGACGUCAAGUCAGCAUGGCCUUUAUGUCUGGGGCUACACACGUGCUACAAUGGCAGGUACAAACCGUCGCGAUGCCGCGAGGUGGAGCUAAUCGGAGAAAACCUGUCUCAGUUCGGAUUGCAGGCUGCAACUCGCCUGCAUGAAGUUGGAAUCGCUAGUAAUCGCGGAUCAGCACGCCGCGGUGAAUACGUUCCCGGGC